ACUGUGAGCGAAUUUGACCGUUUGGAUCAGGCUCGACAAGACUCCCCUCAAAACAUCUACUCGACGGAGCUUCUUCAUCUGGUGAGAUAGCUUCAACAACAUCGAGUCAUGAAUAUUGCAAUGAGCAUGCUGUGCCUGAUGCUGUUCAUCGUUCACGCACAAGCACAAGAUUCAGACACGCCUCCGCAAAAAGAAAAAAUAAUUGACCCGGGUACUGUUAUGACAAUCGUCAAGGCAUGUGUGGGAAUUUAUAACUUUUUCAAGGAAAAAGAGUUUACCUGUCAAGUGGGAAUGGAGAGUGAUUUGAGUACAGUACGUUGUCUCCCUCAACAAGAAUCCUGUGUCACUGCAAACGUAACUGUUGGUAUUUACACAUUCAUCUACAAGAACUGUGCUUCGGACCUGGAUUGUGUCUUUAAAGAACGCAUUCGAAAAAUGGUCCUCAACGAUGUGGUAGAUGCAUUUGAGGAUUCUCGUGGGUGCAUCCUAAAUGGUUAUGAAUGCAACAGCGCCCCACAUGGUGGUCCACCUCGUUCCCUGGCUCUGCUUAUCCCUCCCAUUAUAUCCCUCCUUGUAUUUUCCAGCUAACUUUCUCGCAGAGCUAGGUACGCACAAUAACCCUACAGUUGCUGUUAAGUGUGAGACUAAUAUAUUCAAAGACAGUUGCUCUUAACUUUUUCACAAGGGGUACUCAUUUUAUGUUUGUAAUUAACAACCAUGAAUGAAUGUGUAUGUUAAUGUUACGUUAUUGCAAUCACAAUGAGUACUGUACUCGGUGUGCAUAAUAAUAAUAAUUUAAAAUUUGCUUUUAAUUGUGAAGAAAACCCCAUAAACUUAUGACCAUGAUAAGCACUGAACAAUAGUGCCACACGUUCCUUUCUACCUCUACCAAAGCGUCUCUCUACUCAGGAAUGCGUUUGUGUUUACUUAAUAGGAAGUUAAUUUAAAAGCUCAUAGUAAGAAUGGAUUGGAGUAGAAUGGUGAUGCAAAAGUUGGCACACUGCAUGAUGAACCUAGAGACCUGGGUCUGAUUCCCGGCCAUGGCUAACACCAGUGGCAAGUGAACCGGUCCUGGGCCCGCCUUCACCAUUCCACACUGCCCACACGCGGUGAAGCAUGAAACAACCGUCCACGACUGCAAUGUCAUGGGGAGGUCUUUGGUGAACAGUGGAGUUUAUAAAAGAACGUUCAACCAUUGAAUCAUGAAAACACAUGUAAACGAUCUAUACUUUCAUCAAUUUGUAAUGCGCUUGAACAAAUGCAGUUCAUGCUGGAGUAAACUACAUUAGCUUCCACUUCCCGAGUGGAAGGAUAAAGCCCUCUCCAGUUCACCCGCUCUGGUCUUCCACGCCCGUGGUUGCUGCCACUUGCAUUGUGCAGCUUCCUUGAACCAACGAUAAGCCCAUUCAUGAACGAUGAGACAGCGUUAUGGGUUAUUUUUUUUAUAUUAAAGUGUGUAACAAGGUGUGUUUAAUUAUGUUAUCAUAGACUGGGAAAACUACAUUAAAAAUAGAAACUACGUAAUUUAAUCGUUCGGGAAAAUAAUGGUGGUUAUGGACUUAUUUUUUUUAUGACAUGUGAUAUUGCUGGAAAAUAUAUAAUAAAUGUUGCCUUUCAA